rnacentral:rRNA from 1 species
AACGAACGCUGGCGGCAUGCCUACCACAUGCAAGUCGAACGAGGCCUUCGGGUCUAGUGGCGCACGGGUGCGUAACGCGUGGGAACCUGCCCCUAGGUUCGGAAUAACUCCCCGAAAGGGGUGCUAAUACCGGAUAAUGUCUUCGGACCAAAGAUUUAUCGCCUUUGGAUGGGCCCGCGUUGGAUUAGCUAGUUGGUAGGGUAAAAGCCUACCAAGGCGACGAUCCAUAGCUGGUCUGAGAGGAUGAUCAGCCACACUGGGACUGAGACACGGCCCAGACUCCUACGGGAGGCAGCAGUGGGGAAUAUUGGACAAUGGGCGAAAGCCUGAUCCAGCAAUGCCGCGUGAGUGAUGAAGGCCUUAGGGUUGUAAAGCUCUUUUACCCGGGAUGAUAAUGGCAGUACCGGGAGAAUAAGCUCCGGCUAACUCCGUG